rnacentral:lncRNA from 1 species
AAUCCACCAAAAAAAAAAAAGCAAUAUCAGGGUGGAUUUAAAAACAACAACAACAGAUCCUCAGAAGAAGAGAGACCUGAAUUCAAGACCUCUAUCUAACAUCUCCUGUCUAUGUGACCUUCUGUCCCAUGCAGGGAAGCAUCCCUACCUGGCUAUGGGUGCAAGAGUUUAUGGAAAAGCAUGGACAAGAAUCAGACAGAAUGAGAAGGCAUGAAUGGGCCACAAACUUCAUUAAUGGAAGAAGAAAAAUAGAAUAUGCUGAUGACCCUGCAGACUUAUGGAAGCAAUAAGAGAUCAAAGAAGGAGAGAAAAGAUUCUGCAUGAAGCAAGAUUAUUUAGAGCAGCUCUUUCUGUGGUGGCAAAAACUGGAAACAGAGGGGAUAGUCAAUCAAUUAGAAGAAGUCUGAACAAGUUAUGUGAUGGAAUAGGAUUGUGCUGGACAGAACAGAUUUCAGAGAAACUUGGGAAGAUCUAUAGGAAGAACCAAAAGGAUCAGCUAUUAAUAAUAGAAAUUCUACAAAGACAAACAACCUUGAAAGACUUGAGAAUCAACAAAGUAAUGAACAACAAAUCCAGAGGAUUCAUAAUGAUGUACACUACCUACCUCCAGAUAAAGAACUGAUGGACUCAAUACACACUGAAGCUUUUCUUCUUCUUUUUUUGGGGGGGGGGGGGGGGGCAUGGUUGUUUUGUUAUAAAUAUUUGUAACAGGUUUCGUUUUUUCAGUGGGAAGAGGAGAGAGGAAAAGAAUUCAGAGCUGAAAAGAAAAUAGAUUUCCCCCCAUUUGUUUAUGUCUGUUUUCAAUGUGGAAUCAGAUUCUACAUUGAUAUUGUCUUUAUUUCUACAUAUUCUAACCCUAUAGUUAAAUUUACAUGGAUCUUGUAGCUAUCUUAAUAGAAUUCCAAAUAUUUUAUACUUCCUAUAGUUAUUUUAAAUGGCACUUUUCUUUCUGUCCCUUCGGAGAUUUAUUGGUGUUUUAUUGAAAUGCCAUUUAUAAAACCAUUUGGAAUUAUUCACAAGAAGUUACUAAAAAGAACACACCUUCUGAUAAAGCUAUUCCAUUGUUAGGCCUAUGCCCCAAAACAGAUAAAAGAACUAGGAAAAGGUCCUCUGUGCCCUAAAAUAAUUUACAGAAGCUCUUAUUGUGAUGUCAAUAAACCUGGAAACUAAAGGGAUGCUUAUCA